CCACCCUUUAAUGUUUGAUGUUCUAACGUGGACCCGUAAUCCGGGUUGCGGACAGUGUCUGGUGGGUAGUUUGACUGGGGCGGUCUCCUCCUAAAGAGUAACGGAGGAGCACGAAGGUUGGCUAAUCCUGGUCGGACAUCAGGAGGUUAGUGCAAUGGCAUAAGCCAGCUUGACUGCGAGCGUGACGGCGCGAGCAGGUGCGAAAGCAGGUCAUAGUGAUCCGGUGGUUCUGAAUGGAAGGGCCAUCGCUCAACGGAUAAAAGGUACUCCGGGGAUAACAGGCUGAUACCGCCCAAGAGUUCAUAUCGACGGCGGUGUUUGGCACCUCGAUGUCGGCUCAUCACAUCCUGGGGCUGAAGUAGGUCCCAAGGGUAUGGCUGUUCGCCAUUUAAAGUGGUACGCGAGCUGGGUUUAGAACGUCGUGAGACAGUUCGGUCCCUAUCUGCCGUGGGCGCUGGAGAACUGAGGGGGGCUGCUCCUAGUACGAGAGGACCGGAGUGGACGCAUCACUGGUGUUCGGGUUGUCAUGCCAAUGGCACUGCCCGGUAGCUAAAUGCGGAAGAGAUAAGUGCUGAAAGCAUCUAA
rnacentral:rRNA from 1 species